rfam:Salmo salar isolate Sally breed double haploid chromosome ssa22, whole genome shotgun sequence.
AUAGAGUACAAUUGUAAGUCGCUCUGGAUAAGAGCGUCUGCUAAAUGACGUAAA